UAGUAUUUUGACUAUACAAAGGUAUUGAAAUAAGACUUUAAUUGAGUGCUAAGAGAAUGGAAUUACAGGAAAAAUCUUUUUUAAACUUAACAAUUAAAGUUAUUUUUACUUGUGAAGAAACAGUAAUAAAAAUUAAGGACAAGAAGACCCUAUGAAUUUUUAGAAACAUAUUUCAAUAAAGAAGAUAUGUUUCUUUAAUUGGGGCGAUUAAUUAAUAUUAAAAACUUUUUUGAAAAAACAUGAACCGUUUAAUAACGGUAAUUUG
rnacentral:rRNA from 1 species